AGAGUUUGAUCCUGGCUCAGGACGAACGCUGGCGGCACGCUUAACACAUGCAAGUCGAACGAGAGAAGAGGAGCUUGCUUUUCUGAUCUAGUGGCGGACGGGUGAGUAACACGUGAGCAAUCUGCCUUUCAGAGGGGGAUACCGAUUGGAAACGAUCGUUAAUACCGCAUAACAUAAUUGAACCGCAUGAUUUGAUUAUCAAAGAUUUAUCGCUGAAAGAUGAGCUCGCGUCUGAUUAGCUAGUUGGUAAGGUAACGGCUUACCAAGGCGACGAUCAGUAGCCGGACUGAGAGGUUGAUCGGCCACAUUGGGACUGAGACACGGCCCAGACUCCUACGGGAGGCAGCAGUGGGGAAUAUUGCACAAUGGAGGAAACUCUGAUGCAGCGAUGCCGCGUGAGGGAAGAAGGUUUUAGGAUUGUAAACCUCUGUCUUCAGGGACGAAAAAAGACGGUACCUGAGGAGGAAGCUCCGGCUAACUACGUGCCAGCAGCCGCGGUAAUACGUAGGGAGCGAGCGUUGUCCGGAAUUACUGGGUGUAAAGGGAGCGUAGGCGGGAUCGCAAGUCAGAUGUGAAAACUAUGGGCUUAACCCAUAAACUGCAUUUGAAACUGUGGUUCUUGAGUGAAGUAGAGGUAAGCGGAAUUCCUAGUGUAGCGGUGAAAUGCGUAGAUAUUAGGAGGAACAUCAGUGGCGAAGGCGGCUUACUGGGCUUUAACUGACGCUGAGGCUCGAAAGCGUGGGGAGCAAACAGGAUUAGAUACCCUGGUAGUCCACGCCGUAAACGAUGAUUACUAGGUGUGGGGGGACUGACCCCUUCCGUGCCGCAGCAAACGCAAUAAGUAAUCCACCUGGGGAGUACGACCGCAAGGUUGAAACUCAAAGGAAUUGACGGGGGCCCGCACAAGCAGUGGAGUAUGUGGAUUAAUUCGAAGCAACGCGAAGAACCUUACCAGGUCUUGACAUCGUAUGCAUAGCUCAGAGAUGAGUGAAAUCUCUUCGGAGACAUAUAGACAGGUGGUGCAUGGUUGUCGUCAGCUCGUGUCGUGAGACGUUAGGUUAAGUCCCGCAACGAGCGCAACCCUUACUGUUAGUUGCUACGCAAGAGCACUCUAGCAGGACUGCCGUUGACAAAACGGAGGAAGGUGGGGAUGACGUCAAAUCAUCAUGCCCCUUAUGACCUGGGCCUCACACGUACUACAAUGGCUGUCAACAGAGGAAGAAAAGCCGCGAGGUGGAGCGAACCCCUAAAAGCAGUCUUAGUUCGGAUUGUAGGCUGCAACCCGCCUACAUGAAGUCGGAAUUGCUAGUAAUCGCAGAUCAGCAUGCUGCGGUGAAUACGUUCCCGGGCCUUGUACACACCGCCCGUCACGCCAUGGGAGUCGGUAACACCCGAAGCCUGUAGUCUAACCGCAAGGAGGACGCAGUCGAAGGUGGGAUUGAUGACUGGGGUGAAGUCGUAACAAGGUA
rnacentral:rRNA from 1 species